UACAGAGGGUGCGAGCGUUAAUCGGAAUUACUGGGCGUAAAGCGCGCGUAGGCGGCUUUGCAAGUCGGGUGUGAAAUCCCCAGGCUUAACCUGGGAACUGCAUUCGAGACUGCAUUGCUAGAGUAUGGGAGAGGGAAGUGGAAUUUCCGGUGUAGUGGUGAAAUGCGUAGAUAUCGGGAGGAACACCUGUGGCGAAGGCGGCCCCCUGGUUGGAUACUGACGCUGAUACGCGAAAGCGUGGGGAGCAAACAGG
rnacentral:rRNA from 1 species